UGGGGAAUAUUGCACAAUGGGCGAAAGCCUGAUGCAGCGACGCCGCGUGAGGGAUGACGGCCUUCGGGUUGUAAACCUCUUUCAGCAGGGACGAAGCGCAAGUGACGGUACCUGCAGAAGAAGCGCCGGCCAACUACGUGCCAGCAGCCGCGGUAAGACGUAGGGCGCGAGCGUUGUCCGGAUUUAUUGGGCGUAAAGAGCUCGUAGGCGGCUCGUUGCGUCAACCGUGAAAACCCGGGGCUUAACUUCGGGCUUGCGGUUGAUACGGGCGGGCUGGAGUUCGGUAGGGGAGACUGGAAUUCCUGGUGUAGCGGUGAAAUGCGCAGAUAUCAGGAGGAACACCGGUGGCGAAGGCGGGUCUCUGGGCCGAUACUGACGCUGAGGAGCGAAAGCGUGGGGAGCAAACA
rnacentral:rRNA from 1 species